CAAUCGGUCCUUUUAAGGACUACAAGUUUAUAAAACGUAGUAAUG
rfam:Nasonia vitripennis unplaced genomic scaffold ChrTn_0384, whole genome shotgun sequence.